UGGGGAAUAUUGGACAAUGGGCGCAAGCCUGAUCCAGCAAUGCCGCGUGAGUGAUGAAGGCCUUAGGGUUGUAAAGCUCUUUCGCACGCGACGAUGAUGACGGUAGCGUGAGAAGAAGCCCCGGCUAACUUCGUGCCAGCAGCCGCGGUAAUACGAAGGGGGCUAGCGUUGUUCGGAAUUACUGGGCGUAAAGGGCGCGUAGGCGGCCUGUUUAGUCAGAAGUGAAAGCCCCGGGCUCAACCUGGGAAUUGCUUUUGAUACUGGCAGGCUCGAGUUCCGGAGAGGAUGGUGGAAAUUCCCAGUGUAGAGGUGAAAUUCGUAGAUAUUGGAAGAACACCGGUGGCGAAGGCGGCCAUCUGGACGGACACUGACGCUGAGGCGCGAAAGCGUGGGGAGCAAAACAGGAUUNGAUACCCUGGUAGUCCACGCCGUAAAACGAUGAGUGCUAGACGCUGGGGGGCUUGCUUUCGGUGUCGCANCCAACGCAUUAAAGCACUCCGCCUGGGGGAGUACGGCCGCAAGGUU
rnacentral:rRNA from 1 species